GAUAUCUGUCUUGUGAUGGCGGGGAGUGGCGGACGGGUGAUUAACGCGUGGGAAUCUACCCUUUUCUACGGAACAACUGAGGGAAACUUCGGCUAAUACCGUAUACGGCCGAUAGGCGAAAGAUUUAUCGGAUAAGGAUGACCCCGCGUUGGAUUAGCUAGUUGGUGGGGUAAAGGCCUACCAAGGCGACGAUCCAUAGCUGGUCUGAGAGGAUGAU
rnacentral:rRNA from 1 species